rnacentral:tRNA from 1 species
GGCGGCAUAGCCAAGUGGUAAGGCGACGGAUUGCAAAUCCGUUAUUCCCCGGUUCGUCCUGGGCCGGGUCCCUCCC